CAGUCGCCGCGGAAUACGAAGGGUGCAAGCGUUAAUCGGAAUUACUGGGCGUAAAGCGUGCGUAGGCGGUUUGUUAAGUCUGCUGUGAAAUCCCCGGGCUCAACCUGGGAAUGGCAGUGGAUACUGGCAAGCUAGAGUGUGUCAGAGGAUGGUGGAAUUCCCGGUGUAGCGGUGAAAUGCGUAGAGAUCGGGAGGAACAUCAGUGGCGAAGGCGGCCAUCUGGGACAACACUGACGCUGAGGCACGAAAGCGUGGGGAGCAAACAGGAUUAGAUACCCGAGUAGUCCCUGUCUCUUAUACA
rnacentral:rRNA from 1 species